UCAGUAGGGUGAGAUUGCCAAUACCAUCACAUAAACAGGAAGUCUGGAGAUGGAGGCACUUUGGGAUUAGGUUAACGAUUUCAAUUACAGAUAACACUGCUUGCUGGACAUCAGAAAUGAAAUGUCCAGCAAUUGAAGCUAGGGGACUGAAGCUGAGGAGCAGUCCUGCUUACAUCUUGGGUCUUUAUAGUGUGACAGCUGACAUCAUAAAGUUGGACAAAGUUUCUGAGGGAGGGCUGGGGAAAGGAGCAGACGGCUGAGAACUGGUCCUUGGGGGAUCUGCCACUGUCCUGGGAUGGGAAGAAUCAAGGAAGCAACUGACAGAGAAGGAAGGAUUAUGCCAAAAUCUCUUCAAUUCUUUGAACUACAGGAAGAAAAGGUUUUGGGGAGGAGCAAAGAGGGGAGCUCAGAACUGGGAGAACUGAGAGUUUGUCUUGGUGCUGAUUUCAGGAGUUGGGUCACCUUGAGAGAGUCACCAGCUUUUUGGACUUCUUGGAGAAUGGCAGUGCUGUGAUAGCUUGAAUUUGAAACUCUACAAGAUUAAUACCACUGAUGUGUAAAGUCUUCAGAGGAGAACAUGGAUGAGGGCCAGAUGGAGCUGAAUCUGGGCAAUAGACAACAAUGACAUUUGGGAGUGACCAGGGCUGCCCUAAGCCAAACCAAGAUCCAUCAUCUUUCCCGUAUCCAAUCAGCCUCAUUAAACUGCUUCCAUUUCCCACGUGAAGUGUGUUCUCUUAUAAGAUUCAAAAA